GACGAACGCUGGCGGCGUGCUUAACACAUGCAAGUCGAACGGAAAGGCCCUGCUUUUGUGGGGUGCUCGAGUGGCGAACGGGUGAGUAACACGUGAGUAACCUGCCCUUAACUUUGGGAUAACUUUAGGAAACUGGGGCUAAUAUCGGAUAGGAGCUCCUGCUGCAUGGUGGGGGUUGGAAAGUUUCGGCGGUUGGGGCUGGACUAGCGGCUUAUCAGCUUGUUGGUGGGGUAGUGGCUUACCAAGGCUUUGACGGGUAGCCGGCCUGAGAGGGUGACCGGCCACAUGGGGACUGAGGGACGCCCCAGACGCCUACGGGAGGCAACAGUGGGGAAUAUUGCACAAUGGGCGGAAGCCUGAUGCAGCAACGCCGCGUGCGGGAUGACGGCCUUCUGGUUGUAAACCGCUUUCGCCUGUGACGAAGCGUGAGUGACGGUAAUGGGUAAAGAAGCACCGGCUAACUACGUG
rnacentral:rRNA from 1 species